rnacentral:rRNA from 1 species
GAUGAACGCUGGCGGCGUGCCUAAUACAUGCAAGUCGAGCGAACGGACGAGAAGCUUGCGUCUCUGAUGUUAGCGGCGGACGGGUGAGUAACACGUGGAUAACCUACCUAUAAGACUGGGAUAACUUCGGGAAACCGGAGCUAAUACCGGAUAAUAUUUUGAACCGCAUGGUUCAAAAGUGAAAGACGGUCUUGCUGUCACUUAUAGAUGGAUCCGCGCUGCAUUAGCUAGUUGGUAAGGUAACGGCUUACCAAGGCAACGAUGCAUAGCCGACCUGAGAGGGUGAUCGGCCACACUGGAACUGAGACACGGUCCAGACUCCUACGGGAGGCAGCAGUAGGGAAUCUUCCGCAAUGGGCGAAAGCCUGACGGAGCCACGCCGCGUGAGUGAUGAAGGUCUUCGGGUCGUAAAACUCUGUUAUUAGGGAAGAACAUAUGUGUAAGUAACUGUGCACAUCUUGACGGUACCUAAUCAGAAAGCCACGGCUAACUACGUG